CGUCUGCUGACAGUCACUUGAGGGAUUUCCACUUCGGGACGAUUAUGACUAAUGAUACUAAGAGCAUGGGUGGACAAGGAGCUCUUCAGGACUUUUAAAGAAUUUCUUUUGAAAAUGGAGCCAGAAAGAGGAUUGCUGGAUCAUAUAGGAAGUCUAUUUUAAUUUUUACAGGUACCAUGGCACCGUUCUCCGCUCUCACCGACAGUGUAAGACUUUCUCAUUUCUCCAUGUCUCCCACAACACCUAUUUCUUUCCCUCCUCCCCACUUCUUCCUUUCCUCUCUACAGGGAACUGAACCCAGACCCACACACUAGGCACUCACUCUACCAUUGGGUCAUUUUUUUUUCUCCUUUUAAAUUGUGUGUGUGUGUGUGGGGGGGUGCAUUCCUGUUGAGUAUAGGUGCCUCUGGGAGAAGGCACUGGAUGUCCCUGAGCUGGAGCCACCUGUGGUAGGCGCUAGGCACUGAACUCCAGUCUUCUGUGAGAGAGUACUUGCUCUAAGCCACUGCUCUAAGCCAUUUCUCCAGCCCUACUUUCCCCUCCUUUUUUUGUGAGUGGUCAUUUUACCAGGUAUAACGUGUUAUCUCAUAGUGGCUUGAAUUUUAUUUUCUAAUAAUGAAAACACAUACAAGUGUUGGACAGGGUGUCAGACUGCAGGAAGACUGCAAAGAGGCCCUCCUUUGUUCUUGAGACCCUCCUUGUGCAUAUGACCACUUCUCAUACCCUGGAGGACAAACAGCUCUAUCAAAUGUGUUCCAAGGAGCUGAGGCUAGGGCAGGAGGAGUAGUGAAGAAGCAGAGCACAUGCCGUGUGUGCUGAAGUUCAAAGCCAAGGUAUGUGCCGAUAGUACGUCCAAUCACUAUGUGUCAAUUAACAAUACAAAUGUAUACCUUUUUAUGGCAAAACUAAGUGACUGUUCAUCUAAACUUGGAAGAGCAGGAAAACAAAAACAAAGACAAAACCCGACAAAACCUAUGAGGGAAGGUUAGCUUGUCUACCCAGGGAAUGCACAGAACCUAAUCCUCACUUCAACACAGCACUGCUGCCUGCACACACACACACACACACACACACACACACACACACACACACACCCUCCCGGUUCCUGCCACUGUAGGUGGCAAAUGAACCCCCAGGUCCUGGCUGACCCAAACUCUAAAGGCCAGUGAGGAAAUGAGCAGCACCGGAAACAGGAAUGUCUGCAUCCACAGUUUGUUUCUCUUCCACCCCAGCCUCCAAAGAAAAGAUCUGCAAAGAAUUUCCUUGCACUAUUUGGCAAGGGAAAGCAGCACCUGGAGGGUGAGUGAGGCCGGGAAGGCGUACAAGAAACAGAGUAAAGCAAGCUGGUUAUAAUGAAGCUUUGUCUCACUAAUCUCCAGAGCCCAGCAUUCUAUUAGGAAAGAUAGCUGCAAAUGGGGAGAGGGGGUGAUUAAGAACGCACACGUGUGAGGACUGGGAGGUGCACACAUUUUCCCGGAUUCCCAAAUCUUAUCUUUCAUUUGGACUAAGGGAAACAACAACAACAACAACCCAUCUUUCAGAAACUCAAAGUGGAUUGUAUGCAUUAAAAUAAAUGAGGGCCGUGAAGGAAGAGCUAUGAGAAAUGAGAGACGCAAUUAUUCUUGGAAGCAGGAAUUUUUCUCUUGCUUCAGUGCCGCGUGCUCCGCUGGCAGUUUCAGCCAUUUUCUCUCAGGUAAUUUUUCCGUAUUGAGUUCCCAGUGCUGCCCAGGGGUGCUGUGGUCUCUGCUCACCUGUGGGAGCUACACACAGCUAUGGAUGGGCCAUUCUGUUAGGCAGAAGGGGUCUCAGGAGGGAGACAUAUUACUCGAAGGAGGCAGAAAGCAGGAGAAAUGAGGCAGCAGUUCCAUGGUGUUGCUUGUGCUAAGUAAAGAACAUUAAAUAAAAAAUUAAAACUAGUACAUUCACCUCAAUAGCAUCUCACCACUAAUCUGGGAAGUCAUAGUUUAAAACAGUUUUCCCCAGAGAAAAAGCCUUAAAAGCCUGGAGGGUAAGUACACCCUCCCACUGUGGGUUUUGAGACAACCAUACUUGAUAUACAAUGAUUAACUGAGGAAAAAAUUAAUUUCUUUUUCUCUUUCUUUUUUGUAAUGGACUAGGAAGUGUCUCCAAAUGGAAUAAUAGGUUGAGAACAUUGUUGAGGAAUUUUUUGUUUUUGUUUUUGUUUUUCGAGGUAGGGUUUCUCUGUGUAGUUCUGGCUGUCCUGGAACGCGCUCUGUAGACCAACUUGGCCUUGAACUCACAGAGAUCCUCCUGCCUCUGCCUCCGGAGUGCUGGGAUCAAAGGCGUGCGCCACCACCGCCCAGCACUUAGGAAUCUUUAUAACACAGUUCACAUUUUCCUGGUGCGAGUCUCAUCAGUCCAUGUAGAAGAGACGACAUUGGGGCAAUCAAAGGCUUGUUUGCUCUGUAACACCUAAGAGCGAAGCAUCCCUCCUCCCCACAUGGGAUCCUUGCUCUGCUUUCUGGCUGCCUACUGGAGAAAAUCAGAGUUAAGGCACAGAACACUGAGAUACCAAGUUCACAGCUAUGUGGACCCUGUGUGGAUUCCCCAUCUCUUCAUAUAGUGCUCAUGGCCUCUAGCUCAGUGGUUCUCAACCUUCCUGACACUGCACCCCUUGAAUACAGUUCCUCGUAUUGUGGUGACCCCCAACCAUAAAAUUAUUUUUGUUGCUACUUCACAACUGUAAUUUUGCUAUUAUGAAUUGCAAUGUAAAUAACUGUGUUUUCUGAUGGUCCUAGGCGAGCCCUGUGAAAAAAGACUGCUCAUCUCUGACGCUGACGCCCCCACCCCUAAUACACAAGGGGUCGCGACCCACAGGUUGAGAACUGCCGCUCUAGCUGGUCCUUACUAAAGGUUAAGUGGUUGUGAAACCACAGGCAACAGGGAAUCAAAGGCUGUUGUUUUAAGCUCUUGGCCAAGCCUCUGACAGCUCCAGCGGCAGCUGAGGGUGGGCUGUCUUGGACCAUCUGGAGGUUUUAAUAUGCUCCAUCCAUCUCAUGCCAAUCCGCUUUGCCAGAGUACGGGUCACGGUCCUCGGGACCUUUGCGGGGGCGCUGUGCUCUGUGGCCUCCUGCAUCCCCCUCGCAGGUGCACUUGUGCCUUUUCCGGCUGAUGCUAUUUUUCUUGCAGGCUCUCACCUGCAGAACUAUUAUUACUUGCUUGUUGCAGCACGUUGCUGAUUCAUACCCAUAGGAAAGAGUAAUUUCGUCUCCAACACCUCUUCCCUGUCAUUUAAGGCAUAUGGAAAUGAAAGGCAGAUUUUGGCAUCUGCUCUCCGCUAUAACUCUGAGGCCACAAUACAGAUUCAUUAAAAAUGAAGAUGCAAUUGUUAUUUCAUUUUACUUCUGGUUAUAGCUAGAACCAUACCAAAGCCAGCUUGCAGGAUACCUUUGUGCCUUUCAAAUCCCAAACCAUAUUCCAAGAAAGGGUACACAUUUCAUGUUUGAAUUGGCAAUAAUGUGGCAUUCAUGUACAUACAAUGUUUUAAAUAAAGAUGCUUCACGCAUGUUUUAUUUCUGACACCUCCUGAUUUCACAGAUUUUAGGUUACAGCACAGGCAAAUCCCUCUGACGAUGUUUUCAGGGCCUUUCCUUUUCCUUGAAGCAUGGAAUUUUUAUUUUAUUUUAUUAUUUUAUUUUUUGUUUCUUUUAACUUAAACGCGAGCAAUGUGUGCUCUCUCUGCCAGGAGGUCUGCCAAGUGCAAGACCGAGCCUGCGGGGGUGGGGGGUGGGGUGGGAGGGGAGGAGCAGAGCUGGGCAGACUCAGAGAGCUGAGGAGAACCGAUUGAGGCCCUUUUGCUUUGUCAUCCCUCACGGGUCAUUUCCCUCCCUUCCUUUCCAUUUUAUAAUCGAGGACAAGUGCGACCUACUUAUUUCCCAGAACGACUGACUCUCCAAUGAGCAGGAACCUUGAGGGUCGCCUGAGCCAAACUCCCACCAGCUCUGCAGCGGAUUCAGAAGCUCUCUUCUCCAGCGGCCCGUGAGCCCACGAACGAGGUUUUUGGAGUCAGGCAAUUCCGGUUCUAGUAUCCCGGGCAAGUCACCUAGCAUUUCUGAGCCCCGGUCUCAUCUGCUAAUGGCCCCGAUAACAGCUAAUUCGUAGGCUCGUGGGAACCAAAUAAGUACCUACUGUAUACACAAUCAGCACUCAGGGCCGAAUGGAGGGUAGCGAAGUGGUUUACUGGGACCUGAACCUAUGCUUUCCUGAGAGACUCCGGGCAGUACUUUUUCCACGGCACUGUACUGUCUUUCUCUCGCAACGUCUCAAAAACCACUGAAAAAGUAUCUGUGGAGUGCUGCGCACGCUGUCUGGUAGACUGUAAACGAUGUUAUUCAUAACAAUACCUCGCGCAGUCGGUGCUGGAGAAUCUACAGUGUGCUUUCACAAGGGGGGGGGGGGGAAGUACCCCCGCCAACGUGUAGUCUCCUGAUGACUAGCUGCAGGCGGGAGGAGGAGGAGGAGAGGCUUUGAAAGAGGUCUAUUAGCGAUGCAAGUGUGAAGUCAUCUGCUCUUGCGAGGAGCAUAAGAAACCUCAGGACCAAUUAGGUCCUUCCCUUGGGGCUUUCUCUGCUUAAAUCUACAUUUCUGUCUGGCAGCAAACCUGAAAAAGGAGGCCGAGGCAGAGACCUUGACAGCUGCACUUCUGAGGACCUACCACCAAAGACGAAUUCAUUCCCAAAUCAAGACUGUGGUUUUCCUCCCCACUGAUCACUGACCUCACCCCCACGUUAGAUGCCAUCAGCAAGUCUUCAACAAAUCUCUCUCAACGUGUUUGUAGACCAUCAAGGCAAGAAUGAAACAGAAAGGGACCGACCGACUUGGAUGGCUCCAGUCCCGAGACUAGAGGUCACAUCCUCCAGUCUGUUCAUAAGCUAACCUGCCCCAGCUCCGCACCAUCCCUCACCAAUGUCCUAUACAGACUGAUCGGAUUUGAACACUUGGAGAACAGAGAGUCAAGGUUGAGUCCGAGGCCCACCUCCUCCCAGAAGCUUGAUUCCUCCCCUCUUUUCCCCACAACUUCUUUCUCCUCAGAAGGGUGACCGUUGCCACCUGCACUGUGCGAAGCGAUGGUGUGAGUGCUUUUUUGAAGCUGGUUCCUUGAGGCACUCUGACCCCAUGUGUUCUGGGGAUACCAUCAAUUAAGCUAUGCUGCCACAGUGUACUAAGGGGUCAACCUGCUAUCAAACUUGGGGUUCCAAUUUGUGCCCCAAGUCAGGUUUGGCCAUCUGUCCUCAAUAAGUCAAUAAUUAGAACCAAACUUGCUGCUGGGUGUGGUGGCGCACGCCUUUAAUCUCAUCUCUAGGAGGCAGAGGUAGGUAGAUCUCUGUGAGUUUGAAGCCAGCCUGGUCUACAGAGCAAGUUCUAGGUCAGCCA